AAUUUUAGUUUUAAAAAUUUAUAAUUGGUAAUUUCAAAAUUCAAGUUUAUAGUUUUAAAUUUUAAAUUUUAAAUUUUAAUAUAAUAUUUUAUAUUUUUUUAAUAUAAAUUUUGUUAUUUAUAUUUUAAAAUUUAAAUUUGAUCUUAAAUUUUAAAUUUUAAAUUUUGAAAUUAAAAAUUUAAGAGUUUAAUUUCAAUUUUUGAAUUUUAAAGAAAGUAUUUUUAGGAUCACCUUGCUUGUUCCACCAGUAAAAUUUAAAUUUUCUAAAUUCAAAAAUUAAAAUUUAUAAUUUUAAAAUUACAAAAUUAAAAAUUUAAAUUUUAAAUUGUUUAAUUUAAAAUUUUAAAUUUUGAUAUUUUAAUUUUUUUAUAUUUAGAAUAUGAUAUUUUGUAUUUUUAAAUUAAAAUUUCAUCUUAAAUUAAAGUUCAAAAUUUAAAAAAUUAAUUUUUUAAAAUUAUAAAUUUGAGAUUUUAAAAUUUUAAAUUUUAAUUUUAAUUUUUAAACUUUAAAAGUUUAUAUUUUAAAUUUUAAAAUAUAAAUAUAAAAUAUAAAAAUUUAAAUUCUAAUAUAAAGAAAAAAAUAAUAUCAUUAUUUUUUAUUUAUAAAUACUCACUUUAAUUCUUAUCCCAUCUUAUCUAACCAAACGCUAUUUUUCUUAUUCUCAGAAAUACUCAAUUUUCAUCCAAACGGAAAAUUCAUUUAAUCCCCGCUUAUACCUCAAUUUAUACCUAUCCCUGGAAUACUCACUUUUUGCUUAUCCUCGAACCAAAUGAUACCUAGGCUUCAUUUGGUCUGGACAUAAGUAAGAAUUAGUUGUUUCAGGGAUAGCUAUAAGAUGAGGUAUAAGGUGGGUAUAGAGUAAUUUUGUAUUUGAUUGAGUAUUGAAUUUAGUUCAGGGUUGUAACAAGUGGAAUAAAAAGAAUAGUGGAUGAUUAUAAAUAGAAAAUAAUGAUAUUGCCAUUUUUAUUAUAUUUGAAUUAAAAUUCUAAAAUUUUAUAUUUAAAGUUUUAAAUUUAAAUAUAUAACUCUUAAAUUUUAAAAAUACAAAUUAAAAUUUGAAUUUAAAAAUUUCAAAUUCGAAAAU
rnacentral:lncRNA from 1 species